rnacentral:tRNA from 1 species
UGGAUCACCUCCUAACAGGGAGAACAAACAAACGAUUUGAUGUCUGAGUUUUUUUUAUUCUUAGGCCAAAAUCCUGUCACCUUAGGUCGAUCGGUACCUCAACUUUGAAGCUAAGAGUAUUCAGCAAUGGAUAUCUGCUUAGUGGAAAUUUUUAGUUCCUAAACUUUGUCUAGUUCACAACCCAUUAGGGAUGAGACUCCUGGGCCAUUAGCUCAGGUGGUUAGAGCGCACCCCUGAUAAGGGUGAGGUCCCUGGUUCAAGUCCAGGAUGGCCCAUUCGGUGUAGGGGGUUUAGCUCAGUUGGUAGAGCGCCUGCUUUGCAAGCAGGAUGUCAGGAGUUCGAGUCUCCUAACCUCCACUGACUACCAAAAUCCCCAUCUCCAAAACCUGGAGUAUGAACUCGUAUGGAUUGUGAUUUAGAUAUGUCCGCUAGAUGACCCUAGCUUCUUGUCAUUUUAAGGCAUGGAAAUAGUUCCAUGAUAUUUAAUUGAUAGGAUGCUGGGCUCGAUUCAAUGUAUUGAGAGAUCAAUGCAUUGUUUUGAUGUCUGGUCGAACCUUGACAACUGCAUAGUAAGUCUGGAAAGAAUAAAGCAUCUUUAUGGAUGCAUCAUUCUUGAAUGUUAAUUCACGAAGGGAUGGUGUUAAUUCUAAAGCAAGAGCCGAGACUCCAGCAUGUUCUUUCAAAUGUGUCGAGCAUUUGAGAGUUUGAUUUUAAUUUCUAUUUUUAGAAGUUAGAAGAAUCUGUUUCAACGACAGCAAGCGUGUUGGAGAUACAUUGGUCAAGCUACAAAGGGCUCACGGCGGAUACCUUGGCACACAGAGGCGAUGAAGG